rnacentral:rRNA from 1 species
UACAGAGGGGGCAAGCGUUGUUCGGAAUUACUGGGCGUAAAGGGCGCGUAGGCGGCCUUCUAAGUCGAACGUGAAAUCCCCGGGCUCAACCCGGGAACCGCGUCCGAUACUGGAAGGCUUGAAUCCGGGAGAGGGAUGCGGGAAUUCCAGGUGUAGCGGUGAAAUGCGUAGAUAUCUGGAGGAACACCGGUGGCGAAGGCGGCAUUCUGGACCGACAUUGACGCUGAGGAGCGAAAGCCAGGGGAGCAAAGCGGG